UACAGAGGAGCCAAGCGUUGUCCGGAUUGACUGGGCGUAAAGCGCACGCAGGCGGUUGCGCGCGUGGGGUGUGAAAUCUGGCCGCUUAACGGCCAGGCGCCAUCCCAUACGGCGCGACUGGAGUGAUGCAGAGGUCGAUGGAAUUGCCGGUGUAAGUGGUGAAAUGCGUAGAGAUCGGGCAGGAACACCCAGGGGGAAGCCAGCGGACUGGC
rnacentral:rRNA from 1 species